CAUGAACUUGUUCAAAAGAAAAAGAAAGUAGUCAAGCUGUCAGUAAGAUUUUGCAAAAACAAUGGUGGUUAUCCUUGGAGGAAGAGGAGAACCUGGAUGAGCUCUGGAAUGUCCCUGGCAAAGGCAUGAGCUUCGUCAGAUUCUGCCACCAGGUUCCAGAUGCUAUCAUGAUGCCAACUUGACUUCCCUGGGCAGAUUACCCCAGCAAUGUGUCCUGGACCACUGCUUCCCAGAGCCCUGCCUGACUAUGGAAUGAGAGAGACAGGCUGGAAGUAUGGAUUGACCAGCCAAUCCAUCCCAUGUUCAGCAGAGAACUAUAUAAGCCAGACUUUCUACCUUCAGCACCCCACAAUGAUCCUAUCCUGGGUCCAUACUCCUGGAGUAAUAAAGAAUAGGAAUGCUAUCAAGGGAGGGGAUAGAAUAUGGAGUUCUGGUGGUGGGAAUGGGUGGAAUUGUACCCCUAUUAUCCUAUGGUCUUGUCAAUAUUUCCAUUUUAUAAAUAAAAUAAAAAAUAAAAAGGAAUUGGUCUUGGUCCAGUCUUAAUGGAAAACAAUCUGAAUAUUUCUCAGAACAGUAAAAAUGAACCUACCUUAU